UAGGAUUCCUGGUUCUGGGAUCGUUUGCUUUGGGAGCUUGCCAAGGAAGUCAUGCUCCUGUCUGACAGUGUGUGCGACCUUUAACCUGGUGCUGGAUAGGCGGCUCGGCAGUUACUGCUCUUCCAGAGGACCCAUAUUCAGAUCUCAGAACCCACACAGCGGCUAACAACCAUCUGUAAAUCCAAUUCCCGACGACCCCACGCCCUCUUCUGGCCUCUAUGAGCACUG
rnacentral:lncRNA from 1 species